rnacentral:misc_RNA from 1 species
UUUAGUCACGUGGUCACGCUAAUCAAAAUGGUCGACGACGUAAAUGUUUUUAUGUAAAAUUGUUUGCUUAAAAAGCUAUAAAUUUCAGAUGCAUUUUCGUUGAGGUGAUUUAGCAACACAGUAUUGCAAUUUGUACAAUGAUGGAUAAACAAUAUUCUGUAAAGUUUUUCACUUCGUUUGUCGAAGCCAUGCAGAGGUUGUGUCGGGAAUACCUUGACUAUGAACAAGGUGUUGAACUGAGUGGUUACUUGGCUGUGGAGAUUGACAACUAUAAAAAAGAAAGAUAUGUGCUGAGUGAACUUGUUCAGAGUACUGGCAAUGUGAUCAGUGAGAGCUACUGCACAAAAGCAUUCAAGACACUUAGGAAAGAAAUACCUCUGAAGGUGUCCAGGGACAAUGAACAUAUCACACCUAGGAAACAAUAUGGCAUGGUUAGCAGGCCCCACAGGCAACCAAAGCCCGCAGAAGAAGUUACAAUCGACUUGCGGGAGAGUCCCGAGAGAGAAAUACAGCCAAGUCCACUUCGCUAUCAGCAGUCGCCAGCAUCUCGAGGUCAUUCAUUAGCAAGUCCUGUUAGAUGGCAGAAUCGAUGUCCAACCACACCGAACAGGACGAAUCACCGUUUUUCAUCUUCAAUUGGCAGUCCACCCCGAAUGAGAAACAUGGCAGCUUUAAGAUCACCAAAUCCACCACGUGUCGGUACUGGGCAGCAGUCGAAUCAGAUCCAGCCCAGGCGACCAGAGCAGUCACCUACCCAGCCGUCCUGGACCCCUCCACGCAUUACAUCAGUUCAGUCCCUAAGCAGUCCACAGCAUGAACCAGUUGUUCCAUCAAGUCCUCAACCUGGUCCUCAACCUGGUCCUCAACCUGGUCCUCAACCUGGUCCUCAACCCGGUCCUCAAGCAUCACCUGUUAGUGUUAGUGCUGGGCAGAAAAGACCCAGUGAAUCCAGUGACUCGGCUGCGUCACCGGCCAGCAAAAAAGAUAAAAUUGAUGAGAAUUUGGAAGCUUUGAUAGAUCUGGCAAACAUGGCCAAAGAGCUUUCUUCUGAUUCACAAUCAGGGACGAAAUCUAACAGUUCCACAGUUGCUAGUUCUCCUGCUGUGAGCACAUUGCCAUCAACUGUUGCAGCACCACCACCACCACCAUCAUUAUCAUCAUCAUCACAAAAUACACAAUCCAUUUCGACUGAAGCUGUUCCCACUGAAAAUAUCCGUCUGCCUUUACCAGCUGAAGUGAAACAGGAGGUAGACUCAAGUGCUCCGUGUUUAGUUAUAGACAAUGCCAAUGAUGGAGAGGUCAGUUCGGGAAGUGAUAGUACAUUUAAUGCUAAUCAGACAGUGGAAGCGUUUGAGAGACUCAAUACAACAAGCUCGGGAUCAUUCUCCAGUGAGACAGCAAGCGCAUCAUAUGAUCCAGCAACAUUACAGGUUGCUCAGUCUAAUAGUAGAUAUCAUAUGGUUGCACCAGAAUUUCAAGUGCCUCGAGAAUUUUCAAACAGAACUCUGCAGAACUAUAGGACUGAUGGUGUUCAUUUGGCUGAGUCCGAGCAGAUGUUUGGUUUAUCAGCACUGGAUAUCCAAAACGCAAUUAUCGAAUCCGAGUUACCAUGCAGAAAACGUACAGUGUUGAGUAUGGAGGAGGAGAAACAACUGUUGCAGUUGAUUAAAGUGCAGAUUGGGAAAGGGGCAAAGUUGACCAGGUCCGAUGUUCUGCGCCUGGCCUCUGAUUUCGCUGUGAGUUUGAAGCGAAGGGAGACGACACACGGCUUCAGCAGACAGUGGUACUACAGUUUCUUGGACCGGUGGCCGGAGCUCCAGCCAAUGCUCAGUUCCUCCAAAUGGCAUUAGGAACCAAAGCUUUAGUGAUGGCGAGGAUCAGUAUCCGUGGAUGGAACAAACGUUUUGGUUUUUUAAUACGGGAUAGCUGUACAGGACCUGUUUGUUGAUGAAUAGUUUCGGUUGUGUUAAUUCUAUGCAAUGUUGAGUAUUCAGUUACAGUUCUUCUUUUUUUGACGAAAAAAAACAAUUAUUGAAGAUUUCCUACACAAAAUGAAUGAGAAGGUGGUUUGCUAUAUGGCAGCACUUAAAACAUCUUGAGUUACUUAAACAGAUCUCCUGGUGUGACAAAUAUGUAAUUGUUAUCAGAUCCUGAGCUGCUAAUCUUAGAAACUAAAGAUUAAUCAUCUGACUCAUCAUGCAUCGUCUAAUACUCAACCACAAGACAGACCAGUGGGUCAAGAGAUCCCGUCUGCCCCCCAAGGGAACAGCAGCCAUGCAAUAACUCAAGACGGACACCCGGUUUUCA